CAGCUCCCGGCAUGCCGCGCGGCGCUGCACUUCCGCCCUUGCGCGCCCCAAGGCGCUGGACUACAGCUCCCGGCAUGCCGCGCGGCGCUGCACUUCCGCCCUUGCGCGCCCCAAGGCGCUGGACUACAGCUCCCGGCAUGCCGCGCGGCGCGCUCCUCUCUCUGCUUUCCGGGUAGCAAAGGCGGUUUUCUGUUGUCGUCUGCCUUCUUUCGUCUCGAAGGUGCGACGCGCAGCUCGCACGGAGGUUUUCGGGAAUGAGCCGUAUCAGCGUAACGCGGGUUGAUGGCGUUGCUUUGUAGACGUCACAGAAUCGCAGAAGUGUAGGGGUCGGAAGGGACCGCUGGAGAUGAUGGAGUCGCACCCGCCGCUCCAGCAGGUUCCUUUCUGUGGCCCUCCUCCGGACACACACCAGGAAGUCCGUGUCUCUCCUGUGCUGAGGACUGGAUAUGGUGAGAUCUGGAUACGGUGCUCCAGGUGAGGCCUCACCAGUGCAGAGCAGAGGGGCAGGAUCACCUCUGUCGCCCUGCUGGCCACACUUCUUUUGAUGCAGCCCAGGAUAUGGUUGGCUUUCUGCGCGGUGAGCGCACAUUGCUGGCUCGUGUCGUUUGCCAUCCACCGGCACGCCCAGGUCCUUUUCAGCAGGGCUGUGCUCAAUCUUUUCACCUCCCAGCUCAUACUGGUAGUAGGGGUUGCCUCAAGCCACGUACAAGACCUUGCAUUUGCAUUUGUUGAACCUCAUGAAUCAUAGAAUCGCUCAGGUUGGAAAAGACCCACAGGACCAUCCAGUCCAACCGUUCGCCCAUCACCAAUGGUUCUUGCUAAACCAUGUCCCUCAACACAACAUCCAAACGCUCGUUGAACACCUCCAGGCUCGGCAACUCCACCACCUCUCUGGGCAGCCCAUUGCAGUGCCUGACCACCCUUUCAGAGAAGUACUAUUUCCUAACGUCCAGCCUGAACCUUCCCUGGUGCAGCUUGAAGCCAUUCCCUCCAGUCCUAUCACUAGUCACCUGAGAGAAGAGGCUGACCCCCAGCUCACCACAACCUCCCUUCAGGCCGCGUGCUGUACAAGAGGCGCUGCCACCUCCUGGCUGAGCUCUUCAGGCAGAAGCGCAGAGCACGUAUCACCUGCCAUCCCCCUGCUAGCUCAGGAGAUGCAGUUUGGAUUCAGUCGGUGCACCCUGGAUUCCUCUUGGUAGCUUGCAGAGGUUAGCUGAUCCCUGUAUGGAAGAUGCGUGGUUCCUUCAGUUUGGUCGCUCUGUUCUGUCAACUUCUUCCUACAUACGAGUGUGAAAGGAGUGUGGGCAGGAUCACUUCCAGGCUGGGGCUCCCGUUUAAUCUCUGCACUUACUUACAGAAGUCAUUUUGUUAAUAACUUCAGAGCAUGCAGAUGCGGAUAGGACACUGGAUGUCUUUACAGUAGCACCCAGAAUUCUGAGAGAGGUAUUUCGCCCUCUGGUGGCCAUAUAUGUGACUUCCAGUGUCAAAAAGGUGACGAAGGGACCUGUGCUGACUUACAGACAUGGCCUCGUUUCUGGGCAUUUUGGGGUUUCCACUCACCCCAAGGCUUAGCAGAGGAAAGGGGGUGAGGGAAGUUCAUAUAGUCUGUCCCUAGCAAGUCUCCUUUGCUGCUGAGGACAGACUGGACCUGUGUGAGAGAUGGUGUUACUGUUGUUCUCCUUGGUGCCUAAAUUCUUGGGAUUCAAGAUCUCUAGUUAAAGGUAUGAAAGAAAGCACAGGGACUUGAGUCCCAGCGUUACACCAGAAAGAGUUUUGAAGUUUUACAAAGGUAAAUAAUGCUGGUGCGAUGAUUAUGUUAUUACGAGGAGUGAGAAAACUGAGCUUCUUACCACCUUUUAUUCAAUCUAAAUGCACUAUUUUAUUCCCUUUUUAUCCAGUAAAAUACCUGAAAAUAGUCUUACUUGGAACACAGAUAAGAAACUGCUGGCGAUUACAGAUACUGUUGUGGAAUGGCUGGCAGGGCUUGGUGCACAAUAACCUUCAAUUAAAGUAAUUGAAAAUGCCCUGCGUGCAUUCUGUGAUAGAAGGCAGUAAAAAGAUGGCAGAGGUGUCAAAGCUCUCUCGCAAUGGGUACAUUUUAAAAUCAGACUCUUUAUUUUUAAACUUUUGCAUUUAUUUUGAGUUCUUUAGAUCUCCAUACAGCCAAACUUAAACCUGUGUCACUGCCUUUACCUGGUCCUUCUGGAGCAAAGCCUCCUAUUUUAUUCAGUUUGUUUCUAAGGUUGGAAAGAGGACUGGGCUUCAGCUGAGAAACAGGGCCGAGGGGCUCCUCAGGCAUGCCAGUACAGGGCCAAGCUGGGGUUGUGCUUCACAUUCCAAUCCUCAUCCCCCCAGCCCCCUCCCUUUCACCCCUUCUAGUUUUCGAUUAGACACACUUGAUUUGCUCCUUCUCUGAACUCUUGCCACGACAGUCUAAAAUUAAUGCUAACGUGGUAGGAAAAGUUACUCUUUUGGAAGACUUGUGGGAAGGAAACGCUGUUCUGGGUUCAGAGUAUUUCUAAGCAGACCUCAGACUUCAUUGACCCAGAACUUGAGGUUGGUAAGGCUGCAAAGUAUUUCAGAAACACUGAUUCUAACAGAGGGGAGCAAAUCGUAUGAAACUCUGUAACGGACUUGGAAUGCAUAGAGGAAAUUGUUUUCCAUUGAAAAGCAGUAAGAAACCUAGGUUCCUUUUCUUGCCUGCCACCAUGGGGGCUUUAAUGGGGCUGCAGGAAGCCCCCCAGCUCCUGUGGUCAUUUUUGAGGAGGGGUAGUCAUUCCUCAGGGUGCGUUGCAGGUGCACAGCACAGGGGCGGUUCUGUCAUACACGGGGGUCGGUCCCACAGGGGGGGCACCACAGGGGCGCAGAAUGGCAGCGUGCUCCUCCUCUACGGACACGGAGCAGCGCCAGGCAUGUGGGCAGGCCCAGCACGUGUGGCUCUGCCUGAGAAAACAUGGUAGGGGGUAGGGCAGCCCUACAUCACUGUCACCCCCUGGUGUCCCAGUCACCCCCUGUGGCCCCAUUCCUCUGCCUGUGGCCUUACUGACCCCCCACAUAAAUCCCAGGACUCUCAUAGCACCCCUACAGACUCCCUCUAUAGCUCCCACAACUGCUUAUAGGACGCUCGCAGCCGCCCUCCCAAGACCCUUCGAGCACCCCACAGCACCCCAGAGAUCCCAUGAGCACCUACAGCAACCCACAGACCCCAGGACCUCUGCAGCAUUUCACAGCCUACCCAAAGCUCCCAGGACUGUCUAUAGAAGCUCUACAGCUCCUAGGAUUACUUACAGACACCUGUAGCCCCCUGUAGUGGAACUCCUGAACAUGAGCACGUGACUGCCUGGAGUUGGGGGGGGGAGGGGGGCUGGAGCCACUCUUUCUGUCCCAACUGAUGCUUCUGGGAGCACUGUGUGCACACUUCUGUGUGCAAUCUGAGCCUGCGCGGGUGCCCCUUCUGCCAGCCCUUCUCCUGCAGUGCCGGUACGGACAGAAGGCUGCGUCCCUCAGCUCACGACUUUCUCCAAGCUGUCAGUGGGAGGGAAGAGUUAAUUUCCAAAGGAAAUAUCUUUGGAAAUAUCAAUGGGAUAUCUUUUCCUAUAGCGCCCAUUUCUCACAUACAGGCCCUGUCAUCGCCUCUGUUUGCUCUACACCCCCUUAGAGCUCCAAGGACCCCUGUAGCAACACCAUCCCCCACAGACCCUAUGGACCCCAGAGUUCCCUAUGCCCACUUAUGCACCCCUAUAUGUCCCACAGCCCCCCUACAGCUUCAAUAGCCCGUCUAUAGUUCUAUACAGCCCUCCACAGCCCCCAGAGGCUCCCCACAAAAUCCACGAGGCCCCCUUAUCAUCCCAA
ensembl:lncRNA